CCUACGGGUGGCAGCAGUGGGGAAUAUUGGACAAUGGGCGAAAGCCUGAUCCAGCCAUGCCGCGUGUGUGAAGAAGGCCUUCGGGUUGUAAAGCACUUUCAGUGGGGAAGAAAGCCUUGGGGCUAAUACCCUCGAGGAAGGACAUCACCCACAGAAGAAGCACCGGCUAACUCCGUGCCAGCAGCCGCGGUAAUACGGAGGGUGCGAGCGUUAAUCGGAAUUACUGGGCGUAAAGCGCGCGUAGGCGGUCUGAUAAGCCGGUUGUGAAAGCCCCGGGCUCAACCUGGGAACGGCAUCCGGAACUGUCAGGCUAGAGUGCAGGAGAGGAAGGUAGAAUUCCCGGUGUAGCGGUGAAAUGCGUAGAGAUCGGGAGGAAUACCGGUGGCGAAGGCGGCCUUCUGGACUGACACUGACGCUGAGGUGCGAAAGCGUGGGUAGCAAACAGGAUUAGAUACCCUUGUAGUC
rnacentral:rRNA from 1 species